rnacentral:rRNA from 1 species
AUUGAACGCUAGCGGGAUGCCUUACACAUGCAAGUCGAACGGAGUGGCGAACGGGUGAGUAAUGUAUCGGAACGUGCCCAGUAGCGGGGGAUAACUACGCGAAAGCGUAGCUAAUACCGCAUACUAUUGGAGCGGCCGAUAUCGGAUUAGCUGGUUGGUGGGGUAACGGCUCACCAAGGCGACGAUCCGUAGCGUGUUUGGGAGGACGACCAGCCACACUGUGACUGAGACCCGGCCCAGACUCGUACGGGAGGCAGCGGGGGGGAAGUUUGGACAAUGGGGGAAACCCUUAUCCAGCCAUCCCGCGUGUGCGAUGAAGGCCUUCGGGUUGUAAAUCACUUUUAGCAGGAAAGCGGUACCUGCAGAAUAAGCACCGGCUAACUACGUGCGAGCAGCCGCGGUAAUUC